UCUCGCUCUAUCGCCCAGGCUGGAAUGCAGUGAUGCAAUCUUGGCUCACUGCAUCCUCCGCCUCCCUGGUUCAAGUGAUUUUCCUGCUUCAGCCUCUGGAGCAGCUGGGACUGCAGGUGCGUGCCACCAUACCCAGCUGAUUUUUGUAUUUUUAGUAGAGAUGGGGUUUCACCAUGUUGGCCAGGAUGAUCUCAAUCUCCUGACCUGGUGAUCCGCCCGCCUUGGCCUCCCAAAGUGCUGGGAUUACAGGCAUGAGCCACCGUGCCCAGCCUUGAAACUAUAAUCAACUGACCUUACUUUGACCUUAUGCCUGUCUGCAGUCCUUGGUUCUCUGGGCUUGUAUUGCUGUUCCUCUAGGACUGGAGUCUUGCCUUGCUCCUCCCACUUCCUUCCAGAGACAGUGUUCUUCCAUGAACUCCAAACCGGAAGGCUAGCUCCCUUAGGGCUGCCACCAGACCCCUUAAUAACUUGGGCAAGCCUGGUCAAGAGGCAAACCAGGACACAACGCCAUCCUGGGACAAGCGUGAGGCUACAUGGGAUGGUCCAAAAAUGUGGCUUCUAUAGCGAGAACUUGGAGGUGAGGACCACACUGGGGUCUGCAGAGGAAGAGUGGUACAGCAUUUGGGCCUGGCAGAUGAGUGUCCCAAUACUGCUCUGCCUCUGUUUCGGGUAUUAACUGGAACCAGAAAGAGGCCACAAGAUGGCAGGCAAAGCUGGUCUUGUCUGAGGCAUGGGUGGAUAUUUCAUUUGCCUCACACUUAUCAGGAAGACGUGAAGUCCUGAGUGUGCUCCUUCAGCAUGGGGUGGGGUGUCAGGCGCUGGCUCAGGAGCUGGAAGUCUGGAACUGCAGUCCCAUUCAGCUACUAACUAGCAAAGUGCUGGCAUCAAUGCAUGUUGACUAUUAUUGUUAUGGUUGUUAUUACCUUUGUGUUGUCAAAUAAAAC
rnacentral:lncRNA from 1 species